rnacentral:rRNA from 1 species
GAUGAACGCUGGCGGCGUGCCUAAUACAUGCAAGUCGAGCGAACAGAUGAGGAGCUUGCUCCUCUGACGUUAGCGGCGGACGGGUGAGUAACACGUGGAUAACCUACCUAUAAGACUGGGAUAACUUCGGGAAACCGGAGCUAAUACCGGGUAAUAUAUUGAACCGCAUGGGUCAAUAGUGAAAGACGGUUUUGCUGUCACUUAUAGAUGGAUCCGCGCCGCAUUAGCUAGUUGGUAAGGUAACGGCUUACCAAGGCGACGAUGCGUAGCCGACCUGAGAGGGUGAUCGGCCACACUGGAACUGAGACACGGUCCAGACUCCUACGGGAGGCAGCAGUAGGGAAUCUUCCGCAAUGGGCGAAAGCCUGACGGAGCAACGCCGCGUGAGUGAUGAAGGUCUUCGGAUCGUAAAACUCUGUUAUUAGGGAAGAACAAAUGUGUAAGUAACUAUGCACGUCUUGACGGUACCUAAUCAGAAAGCCACGGCUAACUACGUG